ACUGACUCGUCCGCAUGUGUGUACAAAUGCAUUUUGAUUCCAAGUUUAUGUCGGCAGUUGCAGCUUGAUUUAAAAUGGUAAUCAUGGCAUCAUAAGAGCAGAGUAACGCUUUCCCUCAAAU